AGCAGCCGCGGUAAUUCCAGCUCCAAUAGCGUAUAUUAAAGUUGUUGCAGUUAAAAAGCUCGUAGUUGAAUUUCGGGGUUAGUAGGUCGGUCAUGCCUCAGGUAUGCACUGGUCUUACUGGCUCCUCCUUCCUGAUGAACCGUAUGCCAUUAAUUUGGUGUUGCGGGGAGACUGGACUGUUACUUUGAAAAAAUUGAGUGUUUAAAGCAGGCUAACGCUUGAAUACAUUAGCAUGGAAUAAUGAAAUAGGACGUUCGAUCUUAUUUUGUUGGUUUCUAGGAUUGACGUAAUGAUUAAUAGGGAUAGUUGGGGGCAUUAGUAUUCAAUUGUCAGAGGUGAAAUUCCUGGAUUUAUUGAAGACUAACUACUGCGAAAGCAUUUGCCAAGGAUGUUUUCAUUAAUCAGUGAACGAAAGUUAGGGGAUCGAAGACGAUCAGAUACCGUCGUAGUCUUAACCGUAAACUAUGCCGACUAGGGAUCGGGCGAUGUCCUUUUUUUGUACUCGCUCGGCACCUUACGG
rnacentral:rRNA from 1 species